UGGAUUGAAAUGGGCGGAAGCCUGAUGCAGCAACGCCGCGUGCGGGAUGACGGCCUUCGGGUUGUAAACCGCUUUCGCCUGUGACGAAGCGUGAGUGACGGUAAUGGGUAAAGAAGCACCGGCUAACUACGUGCCAGCAGCCGCGGUGAUACGUAGGGUGCGAGCGUUGUCCGGAUUUAUUGGGCGUAAAGGGCUCGUAGGUGGUUGAUCGCGUCGGAAGUGUAAUCUUGGGGCUUAACCCUGAGCGUGCUUUCGAUACGGGUUGACUUGAGGAAGGUAGGGGAGAAUGGAAUUCCUGGUGGAGCGGUGGAAUGCGCAGAUAUCAGGAGGAACACCAGUGGCGAAGGCGGUUCUCUGGGCCUUUCCUGACGCUGAGGAGCGAAAGCGUGGGGAGCGAACAGGAUUAGAUA
rnacentral:rRNA from 1 species